GCGAAGUAGCUGAUUUCACACUGUCAAGAAAAGUCUCUAUCGAGGUUAAAGGUACCCGUACCGCAAACCGACACAGGUGGGUGAGGAGAGUAUCCUAAGGCCAGCGAGAGAACUGUUGUUAAGGAACUCGGCAAAAUGACCCCGUAACUUAGGGAGAAGGGGUGCCACCAUCAGGUGGCCGCAGAGAAUAGGCCCAAGCGACUGUUUACCAAAAACAUAGGUUUCUGCUAAGUCGCAAGACGAUGUAUAGGAGCUGACGCCGGCCCGGUGCUGGAAGGUUAAGGGGAUCUGUUAGAGCAAGCGAAGCAGUGAACUUAAGCCCCAGUAAACGGCGGCCGUAACUAUAACGGUCCUAAGGUAGCGAAAUUCCUUGUCGGGUAAGUUCCGACCCGCACGAAAGGCGUAACGAUUUGGGCACUGUCUCAACA
rnacentral:rRNA from 1 species